GAUGAACGCUGGCGACGUGCCUAAUACAUGCCAGUCGAGCGAACAGACGAGGAGCUUGCUCCUCUGACGUUAGCGGCGGACGGGUGAGUAACACGUGGAUAACCUACCUAUAAGACUGGGAUAACUUCGGGAAACCGGAGCUAAUACCGGAUAAUAUAUUGAACCGCAUGGUUCAAUAGUGAAAGACGGUUUUGCUGUCACUUAUAGAUGGAUCCGCGCCGCAUUAGCUAGUUGGUAAGGUAACGGCUUACCAAGGCAACGAUGCGUAGCCGACCUGAGAGGGUGAUCGGCCACACUGGAACUGAGACACGGUCCAGACUCCUACGGGAGGCAGCAGUAGGGAAUCUUCCGCAAUGGGCGAAAGCCUGACGGAGCAACGCCGCGUGAGUGAUGAAGGUCUUCGGAUCGUAAAACUCUGUUAUUAGGGAAGAACAAAUGUGUAAGUAACUAUGCACGUCUUGACGGUACCUAAUCAGAAAGCCACGGCUAACUACGUG
rnacentral:rRNA from 1 species